UGGAUCUGUCCCCCGGGUGCCCAUGUGAUCAGGAGACCCUGGUGCUCCUCACCCUGCAGCUGCGUUGGUUCCUGCAGCAGUGGCGGCAGGGGGAAGAAGCCAAGAGUCUCUUUGAGGUGGGCUGCCAGAAGAAACUACGUCUCCUGAUGGAGGGGGAGGAGGUGUCCGACUCAGAAGAACCCAGCAAGACGAGCCCCACAGCCUCAAAGAUCUUCCCCAAACUGGUGGACAGUGCCGAGGACAUGGUUCUGGCGGACCUCAGGGCGGCCAUGUUGGACCUGAGCUCUGAGCUGCAGGAGGAGCGGCGGUCGGGGCUGGAGAUGGCCCAGCAGUUCGCCUGUGCCAAGGCAGCCUGGGCUGUGGA